rnacentral:lncRNA from 12 species
CCAGCUUCCAGCGGAUGUCCUGGUUCCUAAAAGUGUUCAGAGUACUGCCACUACUUCCUGCAGAUGUGCAAACCAGCAGGUGGAGAGGGAAAGAGCAGGAAGGAAGUUGAGUAAAGGUGGGAGGGUAGUAGGAAGUACCCCCUCUCAGGCUCCUCCUUUCCUAGGCAGCGACUGUCUGUUCAAAACCACAGCAAGGCUGCCCAAAGCGAUGUCUUCAACAGGAGGGAGGUGUUGGUCCAGAAACAGUAAAGCUAAUCUUUGUUGAGGGCUUGUUAAUGAGACAACAUGCUGAGCAUCAUCUUGUAUCAUCUUCACCUUAACCACAGAAGACACUAACAUCACUGUCUCCUUUCUGCAGGUGAGGAGCUCAAAGCAUAAAGAGAGGAAGUCACUUGUUUCAGCUCUCAGGGUCCAGGAGCCUGUCUGACUCCAGAGGGGACUCAUGCCUGGGCUUCCUGUCUCCAGGGAAUCUGGACAGAGCGGUGGAAAUUUCAGGAAUAUCAUCUUCAGCACCUGUCACCAUAUGGGACAUAGAGGAAGCUCUCCCUCCUGUUUCCAAGAAAAGAAAAAUUAUUGAACUCAGGCUGAGUGUCAACAGGUUGGCAGGUCUUCAAUAAAAAUAUUGGAAGAAAAAUCAACGCAAAAGAAAUAUGGAAAUCAUAAAAUAUUUUUCUAUAGCAUGGAGUCCUACUGCACCAUAAGGUGGCUUUUGGUUUCCAAGGACUCACGCCCUACUGCAUGGAAGAGCUCUGAUAUGGAAGGAGUUGGGUCCCUGCAUCACUGCAGGAGGAAAUCUGCCCAUCUAUCAGAAACCCUUCAUUGGAUUGUUAAAUGAGUAUAAAUUAACUCCUAUUGUAUUAAGCCAUUGAUGUUUUAUAAUUCACUUAAAGCUACUAAUAAUUUAACAUUCUUCUCAUUCAACAGGGAAUAUUUCAGAAAAUUUUUAGAAUUCCCUGUGUCUCUACCUUAGACAGAGCGAACAUCCAUUUCUGCUGAACUC